GUUUGAAAUACCACCUUCUUGAUAUCUUGCUUAUACACCGGAGAACUCAGCUGAAGCGAAUCGAUGACUAAUAGUGGACAGAGACCAGAAGCUUGAGUUAUCUGAUGGGUCCUGGGCCUGCAACUUGUAAUGAGCCAGAAGAACAAGGCCAUCUUAGGCAACUACCCAAGACAAGUACAAAACAGGCCAUCUCCUCGGGCUACUAAAGAAAAUGCCAGUGGAUGUUGCAGUCUGCUGCUACCCUAGCUCUACCUCUGAAAGGAAGGACUUAAGGGGAUACUCAGGAACUCCUUUCCCAUAAAAGUAAAGAAGACCGAGCCCAUGAAGACCAAUUGCAUUGCCCUGGAACAGUUUUAAAAAUCCAAGUAAA